GAUGAACGCUGGCGGCGUGCUUAGCACAUGCAAGUCGAACGAAGCAGAUGAGAAAGCUUGCUUUUUUAUUUCGCUUAGUGGCGGACGGGUGAGUAACGCGUGAGUAACCUGCCCUUCAGUGGGGAAUAACAUCGAGAAAUCGGUGCUAAUACCGCAUAACGUAUUUAUGUCGCAUGACAUUUAUACCAAAGGAUUUAUUCGCUGAAGGAUGGACUCGCGUCCGAUUAGAUAGUUGGUGAGAUAAUGGCCCACCAAGUCAACGAUCGGUAGCCGAACUGAGAGGUUGAUCGGCCACAUUGGGACUGAGACACGGCCCAGACUCCUACGGGAGGCAGCAGUGGGGAAUAUUGGGCAAUGGGCGAAAGCCUGACCCAGCAACGCCGCGUGAAGGAUGAAGGUCUUCGGAUUGUAAACUUCUUUGAUUAGGGAAGAAUUUUUGACCUACCUAAAGAACAAGUCACGGCUAACUACGUG
rnacentral:rRNA from 1 species